UAACCCAAUUUCCAGUCCCCAUUUUUCCCUCAACCAAAAAUUACUCCCUUUUCAAAUACUAUACCCACCACAACAUGUCCAAUUCCGAGAUCCCACCAAAAGCCAACGCACAACCAACAUACAGCAAACCCAUUUCCCUUUUCCCCAAAUAGUCCACCGCGUACACCUAUGCGCACACCCGCGUAUACGUACAUAUGCGUAUACCCUCGUCGUCUUCUCCAACGUUCACCCGACAACAGUACAUAGCUGUUUCCCCACCCUGCAAUCUCAUCCUUUGGCUUGUAAGAUUGAACCACGUAAUGGCUUCAAGACGCUUCUAUUCAAUCCUAAUGGUCCAUCUCUCCUCGAAUUCGCCCGAAUUUGUUGAAGAUUUGGGAUUUCUGGAAGGAAUUUGGGUAUAUUCCUUAUCUGAAAGGAAGGAAUUUAAAUUUUGAAUUUCGGAAUUUCAUCUGAAAGCCCACUUUUCCUCUCAUUUUUUGAACCCCAAUCCCGGUCUAUAAAUGCCCUCUCCUCUGUCAUUAUUUGGGUUGGAAAAAAAAGAGAGGAAGACAAGAGUUAGAUACAGACGAAUUAAGAGCUAAAAAAUUCAAGCAAUAGAGUGUUCACAUAACUAGUAAGGUUCUGAGAUAGAAAUCUGGGGAAAUUUGGUUUCUUAUUCCUAAGAAGCUUCAUCGAAAUCCUUGGAGUUCAUCUUUUUCAGAUGAAAGGUUCAUUUUCGUCUGACUCGUUUCCUCCCAGUCGCUGCAUGAGAAGAGGAACCGACGUUGCUCCACAUUCACCUCCACAUGGCUAGUUAAUUGCGUUGAAAACUACUACUUUGAUCAUGCCUCCUAGAAAAGUUCCUCCACCUAGAGCAAAGGUUGAUGAUGAGGACCAAGCUCCUACAGUUCCUGAGGCUCCACAUUAUGAGGAAAGAGUCACACAUACCGAGUUUCAGAACAUUAUCACAUAUUGGCUCAAGUCGUAGCCAACCAAAAUAAUCAAGGCAUUGUUCCUCCUCCUUAAGUGACCACUCCGGCUUCUAGAAUUCGAGACUUCAAGAGAAUGAAUCCGCCCGAGUUUGAUGGUUCUAAAGUAGAUGAGGACCCUAUGGAGUUUAUUGAGGAGGUUUACCAAAUCGUGGCUAUAAUAGGUGUCCCUCCAAAUGAGAAGGCCGAGCUAGUGGCCUAUCAACUCAAAGGAGUGGAAAGGGUUUGGUAUGGGCAAUGGAUUAUUGAGAGGAGUAAAGAUGUGGAGCCUAUAGAAUGGGAAGAAUUCAAGGGAGCUUUCCUAGAUCGUUUCUUUCCUUUAUAACUAAGAGAAAUAAAGAUUCAAGAGUUCAUAAAUCUUUGCCAAGGAGCCGUGAGUGUGAGGGAAUAUGCCCUCAAAUUCCUUAAAUUGUCUAAGUAUGCUGCUUUCAUGGUCUCCGACCCGAGGGUGAGGAUAAGCAAGUUUAUUUCCGGUGUUUCUAGCUUGGUAUCCAAAGAGUGCAAGAUGGCCAUGUCGGUCAAGGAAAUAGACAUCUCCCAACUCAUGAUAUAUACGAAACAAAUUGAGGAUGAGAAGUUGAGGGAGAGGUCAAAAGGGUUCAAGAAGGCUAGAGUUGAUGGUGGAGGGUUCAAUCAAAGGUCCGGCUACAGUGGUAGCGGAAAGGGACAAGGUAGAUAAUUAUUCAUGGGCAAGGUUCCACCAAUGCUCCUCCUCCAAGUUUAAAUAAGGACAAGGUCCCUAAUCUGGUGGUUCCAAGGGAGAACGUUGGUGCUCAAACCUUUCCAGCUUGCAAGAAGUGUGGGAAGACUCACAAAGGGAAAUUCUUAGCCGGCUCCAAUGGAUUCUUCAAAUGUGGUAAAUUGGUUCAUCAUGCUAGGGAUUGUACAGGUGGUGGUGGUGUUAGGCCUCAAGGUCAAAUUGCUCACAGUCAACAAGCUCAAGCAUUGGAUGGGAAUUCCAUUAGUUACACUGCGUCUGGAACGUCUAGUUUGGUCUAGUUGAGUGUUGACUUAGAACCCUAGGACCUUAGGAUUUGUUUUGCAUACUCACAGUCAACAAGCUCAAGCAUUGGAUGGGAAUUCCAUUAGUUACACUGCGUCUGGAACGUCUAGUUUGGUCUAGUUGAGUGUUGACUUAGAACCCUAGGACCUUAGGAUUUGUUUUGCAUAUUUAGGCUAAAAGUUGAGUUUUAUGCCUAAAAGAGGCUCGAGAGGGUAUUUUCAUCAUAACACUAUUGUUUUGGAUAUCCGUCUAUUCCAUUAGUUCCUAAAUAUGUUAUAUAAUCAAUUUGCACUAUUAGUUCGUGUUUAUAGAAUUUUGGAUGAGUUUCGAAGGUUAAAAAGAUAUUUUGAAGGCUGCUGGUGCAAUAUUUUAGUGACGAAAAAAUAGACCUUUAGCGACAGAAAAUGGGUUUUAGCGAUGAAAUCGUUGUGUUAAAAAUCUAUCCAAACCCGUUUCAUAUUUUUGACAUUUUGGAAGCUAGAAAGGUCCGUUUGAGGUGAUUUUCGAUGCAUUUUUCUCCCAUAAUUAUUGCGUACAUAUUUCUAACCUUAUUUUACUCAUUUCCUAAGAAUAUCUCUUUCAUAUUUUGUGAUUUCUAUUCACAAAGUGAAAAUUUUAAACCCCAAAGUAAAAUAAAAAAUUGUUGAUUUGAAGAUGAUUUAAAAUGGCUUUUCAUUGAUUUUUGGGAUUUAAUGUCCUUGUAUUGUGGGUAAACUGAUUUUGACAAAGGUCUUUCAAGUUUUUUCAUUAAGCUUCGUUGCAAAUAUGGGUUUUGGGGUUACUUCUUCAAGUUGGAACAUUAGUAAUUCUCUUAUUUGGAGCUCAAUUUUUACUUAAUAUUAAUGGAUUUUUCAAUGCCAAACGCCUGUUUACUUGUAGAACGUGAUUUUUAAAUAAAAUUAUAAUUUUGACCUAGUCGAUUUCAUAGAGGAUUUUGUACCAUUUUACCCUGAUUCUAAAGCCUUGCAAUAUGGGUAUCAUUAGACUCCUUUUGAUAAACACUUUAUAUUCUUGAUAGUUGGUGACCGUUAUGGAGUCGGUGUUUGUGAGUAGACCUCCAAUUAGAGUGUCCGAUCCUUUUUUGGCCUUCAAGGUAGGUUUGGCUAUCCUUUUUUGAGACUGCGGAUGGGUAAUUAGUCAUUCAGAUGUUAUAGACUUUGCGAUGGGGUCGUAAUGUGAAUUUGGACUAUUGUUUAUAUUGUGAUACCCAUGUGGGAGGUUGAUCAUUACUGUGUUACCUGUGUGGGGGCUUAUUUGUGUGGUUUAGCUCGUAUGGGGGCAUUAUUUACUAUUCUAUUUGCUUUGAGAGCAUGCAAUUCAUGAUUUUCUUGUGAAAUAUUCUUGUAACACUAUUUGACUUAUAAUGCCCACUGAGGGAUUGAGUUGGGGGUUUUGAUCACACUUGAGCAAUGAAAUACUUUCCAAAUGGAUGAACACUUAUUUUAAUGUAUUUCCUUCCCAUUACUAUCUAUUGAGGGUGUGUAUCAUGUUUCGAUUGAGUAUUGAGAACUUUGAACCUUAUAUUACAUAUUGAGUUGAGUAUUGCCUCCAUACCAUAUGUGUUGUGAUUUAUUCAUCCUCAUUCAUCGUACUAUUGGUCUUGGAAAGUUGAGAAAUGUGGAAAUUCUUUUUAAGAAAGAAAAUGUGACACCUUUUUAUAUCUUUGACAAGUGCUAGGUGGCAACUUGAUGGGAUAUUGAGAUUAUGAUUUGGUAUAUGGACUGCGAGUCCCUCACGGGUCCUUUUCUGGAAGCCUUAGCUCGACAGGUGUAUACGAUAGGUUGUGCGACAAUUUUGAUUCCACUGUACCACCACACAAUUGCAUCAUCUCAUUGCAUUGCUGUUUGGAUUAUUUGACUAUUUGAUCAUAUAUGAUAUUAAACUGUCCCUUUGCCUUUACCUUACUCACAUUGUUCUAUAUAAAUUUAUGGCAUCGAUGGUGGAAUGAGACUUUUCUUUAUGCUGGUGGAAAUGUUCCUUAGUUUAUUUUAUAAUUAUGAUUAAAUUCAUAUACUCAGUCAGUCAAAUCUACUGAGUACAUGUGAAUUGUACUCACCCCUACUUCUGUGUAACUUUUGAUGCAGAUUUUAGUUAGGGUACUCCUCGUUGCGGUUGAUCAUAAGUAGUGGACGGGUGAUUUUGGACUUAUGGAAAAUUAAGUCGAGCCCAUGAAAUAACAAAUCUGCUAAAAAACCCAUCAAAGCUGAUGACCACGAGUGCCACCACAGGCCGUGAAUCCUUAUACAGCUUGUGCAGGAUGACUGUUAAAGGUUAGGUGCUGAAAAAAAUGUAAAGAAGGUGUGCCAAGUAAAACUCCAUGAGAUCCUUGACCGUCCGUAAUGUCCAUCAUGAAUGGUGGGACUUGACCGUUAAAGGAGCUAUGAUAAAACCUAAGAAAUUCUCCAAAAUACAUUAAGAUGGAACCCUAUAUGGGUUGUGUAAGUGUUCACAGAUCCUGAACGUGAGGUGUGAUAAUCAAAAGUAGAAAAUAAUAGAGGAGCUUGUAUAAGGCCCUCCAUAAAUGGUGAAGCUCUUAACGGAUCGUGAGGGUGCCUGUGGAGGAGGUAUGAAGAAACUCAGCUGAAAUCCAAGUCAAAGACAUUACGUAUGUAUAUGGCUCGAGAAGUUGAAUACAGAUCGUGAAGACCAAUCCUGAACCUGACCCGAAUUAUGUUUUCCUAUUUAGUUUAGGAUUUGGUUUUGUACUUCUAUAAAUAUCCCAUUUAGGUUUUAUUUUGAGGGGAACACAGUUAUGUGCUUGGAAUGCCUUUUGAGUAUUGUAAACAUUGUGAGAAUAUACUUCGACUACUUUUCAAGAUUCAAACGUGCAAUCUAAUCUUUUGUUUUUUCUUGAUUCA